rnacentral:tRNA from 1 species
GGAGGCGUGCCUGAGUGGCUGAAGGGGACGGUCCCGAAAACCGUUAUGCCCGCAAGGGUAUCGGAGGUUCGAAUCCUCCCGCCUCCGCCA